rnacentral:rRNA from 1 species
CACGAAGUUAGCCGGGGCUUCUUCUACGGUUACCGUCAUUAUCUUCACCGUUGAAAGAGCUUUACAACCCUAGGGCCUUCAUCACUCACGCGGCAUGGCUGGAUCAGGCUUGCGCCCAUUGUCCAAUAUUCCCCACUGCUGCCUCCCGUAGGAGUCUGGGCCGUGUCUCAGUCCCAGUGUGGCUGAUCAUCCUCUCAGACCAGCUAUGGAUCGUCGCCUUGGUAGGCCAUUACCCCACCAACUAGCUAAUCCAACGCGGGCUCAUCCAUCCCCGAUAAAUCUUUCCCCCGAAGGGCGUAUACGGUAUUAGCUCCAGUUUCCCGGAGUUGUUCCGUAGGGAUGGGUAGAUUCCCACGCGUUACUCACCCGUCUGCCGCUCCCCUUGCGGGGCGCUCGACUUGCAUGUGUUAAGCCUGCCGCCAGCGUUCGUUCUGAGCCAGGAUCAAACUCU